rnacentral:snoRNA from 1 species
GGACGGUGACGAUUGUAUCAAGAAAGGUCUCGUUCGUCGUAAUUGGCCUCCGUUGAAGGGGGCCUUGCCGACCAUCCUGAUAUAUCACCACCCAUAUUCUGAGUCC